UGCUGGUCUCAGCUGUGGCCUGUCAGAUACUUGCAUAGUCAUCCUGAUUUUCGGUCAUCCUUGGUUGCCACCCUUGAGGCUUUCUUGCUUGUUUCACCCUGGGAACUGUGAGAUGGAGCCCUGGAAGUCCCUCUGUAAAGACUUCUGUUAUUGAAAAACGAUGGUUUCCAUUUGGAUCUCUCAGUAACUGUUCUGGGCAAGCUGAAGCAGGCAGCAGUUUAGCCUGGUAAUUCAACGACUUCUCUGGGCAGCCUGCUUCAGUGAUGGAUAACCUGUUAGGUGAAGUCGUCAUAAUAUCCAAUCUAAACCUCUCCUGACAUAACCGAAGGCCAGCUUGUCUUGUUUUCAUCCUUUGUUCCCCACAGCAAUAAUUAAAGGAGA